AUCGCUGUCAGUCCGCUGUUGGAAAGGAAACCGUGCAAAUCUUCGAGUUCCUCGUCUCCACCACGCUGCAUUUAAUUUGCAAACAAAUACUAGGUCAUAUGUUCUAAAUUGCAUGUAAAUUUGAACAAUUUCUGUAACAUUCUCUAUUGUACUACUGGGUCACAAAACAAGAUAAGAAAAUGGAGAAGUUGGAGGGUAUUAUUGCGCCAGGUAUUUAAAAAUAAAUUUAGGAUUAUUAUGAAUUAAAUUUUAUGGGAGAGCAAAGAAAGUAUUAAUUUUAUACGCAUUAUUGAAUGAAAGUUAGCCUGUGAAACUUUUUCUAAUUGGAAAUGGAGGUAGCCACGCAAAUAAAAAGAGUUGUUUUGCAACAAAUCUUCACAA